GUAGGAGGCGAACGUUAUCCGGAUUUACUGGGCGUAAAGCGCGUGUAGGUGGUUUGGUAAGUAGGGCGUGAAAGCUCCUGGCUCAACUGGGAGAGGCCGUUCUAAACUGCCAAACUAGAGGAUGGUAGAGGGAGGUGGAAUUCCGGGUGUAGCGGUGGAAUGCGCAGAUAUCCGGAGGAACACCAGUGGCGAAAGCGGCCUCCUGGACCAUUCCCGACACUCAGACGCGAAAGCUAGGGUAGCAAACGGGAUUAGAGACCCCGGUAGUCCUAGCCCUAAACGAUGUAGACUAGGCGUCGGAAGCUUAAUCGCUUUCGGUGUCCAAGCUAACGCGAUAAGUCUACCGCCUGGGGACUACGGCCGCAAGGUUAAAACUCAAAGGAAUUGACGGGUCCCCGCACAAGCAGCGGAGCGUGUGGUUUAAUUCGUUGCUACACGAAGAACCUUACCUGGGUUUGACAUAGCAGUGGUAGGGAAGCGAAAGCGGACCGACCCUUCGGGGGGCUGUUACAGGUGUUGCAUGGCUGUCGUCAGCUCGUGUCGUGAGAUGUUCGGUUAAGUCCGCUAACGAGCGCAACCCGCGUUGUGUGUUACAAGUGUCACACAAUACCGCCGGUAUUAAGUCGGAGGAAGGUGCGGAUGACGUCAAGUCAGCAUGACCUUUAUAUCCAGGGCUACACACACGCUACAAUGGUCAGCACAAUAGGUUGCCAAGUCGUGAGACGGAGCCAAUCCUCCAAAGCUGGCCUCAGUUCAGAUUGCAGGCUGCAACUCGCCUGCAUGAAGUUGGAGUUGCUAGUAACCGCAGGUCAGCUAUACUGCGGUGAAUACGUUCCCGGGGAUU
rnacentral:rRNA from 1 species